GAACGGCAGCACGGACUUCGGUCUGGUGGCGAGUAGCCCGAACGGGUGAGUAAUGUAUCGGAACGUGCCUAGUAGCGGGGGGAUAACUGCAUGGCGUAGCCUAAUACCGCAUGCGCCCCUUCGGGGAAAGCGGGGGGACCUUCGGGCCUCGCACUAAUGGAAACGGCCGAUAUCGGAUUGGCUAGUUGGUGGGGUAACGGCUCGCCAAGGCGACGAUCCGUAGCUGGUUUGAAGGACGACCAGCCACACUGGGACUGGAGACUGGCCCAAACUCCUACGGGAGGCAGCAGUGGGGAAUUUUGGACAAUGGGAAACCCUGAUCCAUGCAUCCCGCGUGUGCGAUGAAGGCCUUCCGGGUUGUAAAGCACUUUUAUGGGAAAGAAACGGCACGGGAUAAUACCCCGUGCAACUGACGUACCUGCUGCAGAAUAAGCACCGGCUAACUACGUGCAGCAGCCGCGGUAAUACGUAGGGUGCAAGCGUUAAUCGGAAUUACUGGGCGUAAAGCGUGCGCAGGCGGUUCGGAAAAGAAAGAUGUGAAAUCCCAGAGCUUAACUUUUUUGGAACUGCAUUUUUAACUACGAGCUAAGAGUGUGUCAGAGGGGUGGAAUUCACGUGUAGCAGUGAAAUGCGUAGAUAUGCGGAGGAACACCGAUGGCGAAGGCGGCUUCCUGGGAUAACACUGACGCUCCACUUUGCAGCGUGGGAGCAAACAGGAUUAGAUACCCUGGUAGUCGCCUAAACGAUGUCAACUAGCUGUUGGGGGCCUUCAGGCCUUGGUAGCGCAGCUAACGCGUGAAGUUGACCGCCUGGGGAGUACGGUCGCAGAUUAAAACUCGAGAAUUGACCAGGACCCGCACAGAAAUUGGAUGAUGGUCCAAUUCGAUGCAACGAAAACGCACCUACCCUUGAAGCAUGUCUGGAAUCCCGAAGAGAUUUGAAGUGCUCGCAAGAGAACCGGAACACAGGUGCUGCAUGGCUGUCGUCGGCUCGUGUGUGAGAUGUUGGGUUAAGUCCCGCAACGAAGCGCAGCCCUUGUCAUUAGUUGCUACGAAAGGGCACUCUAAUGAGACUGCCAGUGACAAACCGGAGGAAGGUGGGGAUGACGUCAAGUCCUCAUGGCCCUUAUGGGUAAGGGCUUCGCACGUCAUACAAUGGUCAGGACGGAAGAUUAGCCAACCCGCGAGGGGAGCCAAUCCAGAAACCCGAUCGUAGUCCGGAUCGCAGUCUGCAACUCGACUGCGUGAAGUCGGGAAAUCGCUGGUAAUCGCGGAUCAGCAUGUCGUGAAUACGUUACGGAGAUGUAUGCACCGCCCGUCACACCAUGGGAGUGGGUUUUACCAGAAGUAGUUAUAGCCUAACCGUAAGGAGGGCGAUUUACCACGGUAGGAUUCAUGACUGGGGUGAAGUCGUAACAAAAUGAA
rnacentral:rRNA from 1 species